UCGGCCGGCGGUGGCGGUGGUACUUCUCUGCGCACGUUCGCCUUUCCUGGGGGUGGACAUUUCUGUGUCCACUGCGGGACCCGGCCCCGUCUCUGCUGGACGGCCGGGGCUGGGUCCAAGGGCGGGGUCCAGCCUGGGUGGAGGCCCCUGGGGCAGGGCGGGGCGCCCCCGACCCCCGGAACGCUGGGGCCCGGCGGAGCCCAGGCUGGGGAAAGGACCGGUGUGGGUGCGGCGUGAAUGCAGCCUGGCUUCCGUGGGCUCGGAGCGGAGCAGGGCCGCGUGCGGAGGGGCAGCGUCGCGAAUGGGCUGCGAGGUGGAGCCAGGUCCCGUUUCCUUGGGAACCACAAAGACGGGAGAGAUGUGGGUGGUUGUGUCCGGAGACCCCUUAUCUGCGCCUCCGCACCUGGUGGGAAAUGCAGCCCGCUUCCCGGGUGUCCAAGGGAAUCAGAUCGUCCAGGCGAGAGAGGGACGCUUCCUUCUUAACGGGCAGAGUGUCCGGCGAGUUAGAAAGGGGGGGAUGGCUCCAGCCGGAGAAAGGUUUCCUGCUAAUUUUGCAGUUGGCUUUACUGCCUCUGUCCUCUCCGGCCUCUGAAUGUCGGGGCAGGGACUUAUUUUUCUCGGUUGAUUUUUCCUACCGCUCGUAUCCAGGGCACUGAGACGUUGUGCUCGCUGGGCGCCAGCCUUGGGCUCCAGUCCUGGCCCCAAGCCUUAAUGGGUUCUCCGAUGAUACCACGCAAUUUGUCGAGCCCUUCAGAGCCUCAGAUUCCACAUCUGUGAAAUGAAAGUACAUGACGAUGCUGUUAAAGAGACAGCAGGACCAAAACGGAGUCACUUGUGCCAAGCCCAUGUCACCAAACAGAGGAGUAACAGCUGACCAAACUGCAGUUCAGCCUCUCCCAGGAACAUAAGCUCCGCCAGGCAGCUGAUGGACCCCUUGUGUCCCUGAAAGGUGACCUCGCCUGAAACCAGUCCACUCUGCUAAUACCUCCUUGUGUCUCUCUCCCUCUGUCUAUGAAAACCUUCCAUUUUGUACAGCUCUCCGGAGCUCCUUUCUGUUUGCUAAGGUGACAUGUUGCCCCAUUCAUGAGUCAUUAAAUAAAGCCAAUAAGAUCUUUAAAACUUA